rnacentral:rRNA from 1 species
AACGAACGCUGGCGGCAUGCCUAACACAUGCAAGUCGAACGAGACCUUCGGGUCUAGUGGCGCACGGGUGCGUAACGCGUGGGAACCUGCCCUUAGGUUCGGAAUAACUCCCCGAAAGGGGUGCUAAUACCGGCUAAUGUCUUCGGACCAAAGAUUUAUCGCCUUUGGAUGGGCCCGCGUUGGAUUAGCUAGUUGGUAGGGUAAAAGCCUAACAAGGCGACGAUACAUAGCUGGUCUGAGAGGAUGAUCAGCCACACUGGGACUGAGACACGGCCCAGACUCCUACGGGAGGCAGCAGUGGGGAAUAUUGGAAAAUGGGCGAAAGCCUGAGCCAGCAAUGCCGCGUGAGUGAUGAAGGCCUUAGGGUUGUAAAGCUCUUUUACCCGGGAUGAUAAUGACAGUACCGGGAGAAUAAGCUCCGGCUAACUCCGUG